rnacentral:rRNA from 1 species
UAGGGAAUCUUCCACAAUGGACGCAAGUCUGAUGGAGCAACGCCGCGUGAGUGAAGAAGGCUUUCGGGUCGUAAAACUCUGUUAUUGAAGAAGAACGUGUGUGACAGUAACUGGUCAUGCAGUGACGGUAUUCAAUCAGAAAGUCACGGCUAACUACGUGCCAGCAGCCGCGGUAAUACGUAGGUGGCAAGCGUUGUCCGGAUUUAUUGGGCGUAAAGCGAGUGCAGGCGGUCUUUUAAGUCUGAUGUGAAAGCCUUCGGCUUAACCGAAGAAGGGCAUCGGAAACUGGGAGACUUGAGUGCAGAAGAGGAGAGUGGAACUCCAUGUGUAGCGGUGAAAUGCGUAGAUAUAUGGAAGAACACCAGUGGCGAAGGCGGUCUCUGGUCUGUAACUGACGCUGAGGCUCGAAAGCGUGUAGCAAACAAG